UAGGGAUUGCAGCGGAAAACCCUCAGCCUGCGCAGGCCUUUGUGCGCAGGCUGAGGCGAGGAUUUGCAGCGUAAAGCCCGGGCCGCA
rnacentral:sRNA from 1 species